UAGGCCGGGUGUGUAAGUGCAGUAAUGCAUGGAGCUUACCGGUACUAAUCGGUCGUGAGGCUUAGCCA
rnacentral:rRNA from 1 species